AAUAUUGGGCAAUGCCCGGAAGGGUGACCCAGCAACGCCGCGUGGAGGAUGAAUGCCGUAAGGUUGUAAACUCCUGUUAGAGGGGAAGAACAAUUCCGAUCAAAUCGGAACAUGACUGUACCCUCAGAGAAAGCCCCGGCUAACUACGUGCCAGCAGCCGCGGUAAUACGUAGGGGGCUAGCGUUGUCCGGAUUUACUGGGUGUAAAGGGCGCGUAGGUGGGUUUACAAGUCAGAGGUGAAAUCUCACGGCUUAACCGUGAAACUGCCUUUGAUACUGUAAAUCUUGAGUGCGGAAGAGAGAGACGGAAUUCCAGGUGUAGUGGUGAAAUACGUAGAUAUCUGGAAGAACACCAGUUGCGAAGGCGGUCUCUUGGUCCGACACUGACACUCAGGCGCGAAAGCGUGGGUAGCAA
rnacentral:rRNA from 1 species